rnacentral:snoRNA from 1 species
CUGCGACUAAGUUUCCCACCACAGACGCGAGAAAAAGAAGGUCCUUGUGCUUUCUGUCUGUCUGGUUGUGGCAGCCAAGACUGAAUGGGGGAAUAUAGGA